GUGCACACUUCAUUGUCUUUUUUUCACAACAAGAAAAAAGAUAAUUCUGAUGUGCUAAACAAAUCUUUGGAGGUAAAAUAACAACAUGAAUAAUUUAGCCAUGGCUGUCAGUCACCUUCAGACACUG
ensembl:snoRNA